ensembl:lncRNA
GUCAGUUGCUUAAACCGUCACCUGCCCUUAUUCGAAACGGUCAGUUGCUAAUCUAACAACCCUUGCUAUUCUAAACCUUGCCCUAACCUAACCGGUCUUAUUCUAAGACCAUAACCUAACCCUUAUUCUAAGACAGUCAGUUGCUUAUCAACAGAUUCUAAACUGUACCCUAAUCAGCAGACCCUCAGUUGCUUAUCAAAACCUUCAGCUGCUUAUCAACAGACCCGUCAGUUGCUGGUAUCAACGGAAGGCCUGUUGCUUAUCAACAGCCGGUCAGUUGCUAGUAUCUACAGACGGUCUGUUGCUAGUAUCUACAGACGGUCAGUUGCUUAUCUACAGACGGUCUGUUGCUGGUAUCUACAGACGGUCUGUUGCUAGUAUCUACCGACGGUCAGUUGCUUAUCAACAGACGGUCCGUCGCUUAUCAACUGACGGUCAGUUGCUUAUCAACAGACGGUCAGUUGCUUAUCAACAGACGGUCAGUUGCUUAUCGACAGACGGUCAGUUGCUUAUCGACAGACGGCCUGUUGCUGGUAUCUACAGACGGCCUGUUGCUGGUAUCUACAGACGGUCAGUUGCUUAUUGACAGACGGUCUGUUGCUUAUUGACAGACGGUCUGUUGCUUAUCGACAGACGGUCAGUUGCUUAUCGACAGACGGUCUGUUGCUAGUAUCUACAAUGUGACCAAAGUCCUGAAUGAGCUUUUUACCCUUUUCACUUUUUAAGAAGUUGCUUUCACAAUCAUGUAAACAGUCAAAUACGUUGUAUCCAUCUAUGCAAAACCCGGUGCAGAUAUUUUUGAUAAGUGUUGAUAAGAAAAUACGUUUCUACUGAUUUUGUAAUGACGUUUUGUUUUCUAGUUUUUAUAGAGAUGAAGAAUUCAUCAGUGUUUUUUAAAACCACGUAUAAACUCUCAGGCGGGUAGGCCUGAAUUAACUAUGUAGGUAGUCAUAACCAUUCCAUUACUGAUUUGGAUUUCAUUGUGUUUCUUCAUGCAGGCAGUGACUAAUAGCCUGUUGUAUUUCCAAGACUGUAACAUGUUCUUAAUGUAAUAUGUAUUGAAUUUAAUACAGACAGAACAUAUUCAGAUGAGAGUAUUUCACAGCAGCAAGACGAGUCGUGCUUCACCAAUUCUCUGUUACUGCACAGUUGAAUUAAUUUAAUAGCACAUACACCAACUCUGACACUUUCGAUUGAGCCAGUCUGAAAAGUGUUUUAAUCAACUGCUACCUAAAAUGGUUGCUUGGCAACACAAUUUCUACCAUCUGUUUUGCAUGAUUUUUUUCCCUUUUCCCAGCUGUAUCUGAAAACAAACUGGAUACAUUUUGAUUGCAGAGGAGUAAACAACCAUUUAGCUGGUUAAACAUUUUUUAAAAGCUGUUUAAUAAAACAC